AGAAGGGAUUAAAAGCAGCCAAGGGAUGCUGGUUGGGAAACAGACACAGGUGUGGACACACCCAACUAGGGUCCAGCUGACCCUGAUAAAAGGGCAGGCUGAGAGAACAAGAGAGACUCUUGCUCCAGCUGAAGAGCAGAGAGGACCAGGCUGCCUGGGAGAUCAAGCAGGGUACCUGAGGCAGAGCAGGGCUGGAGACAGGCAGGCAGAGCUCUGGCCUGAUGUGCUGAGAGCUUUGUUUGAAAGAAUAAGUUCCCUGCACAUGGCAAAAGAUAUAAAAGGCCCUGGAAACCCCUCCAUUUUGCCUCUAUCCUGCUCCGGCCUCUUUCCUGCCCAAACCUCUGGACUAUGAACUUUUAUGAAUGGAAGCAGUCUAAUCAAGGAAUUGAGGACCUUGGAAGCAGCUAGAGACUUGACUUAAGCCAGCAGUUUAUUCCAUUACUGCUACAAGCCUGAGUGUGGUCUUUGCAAUUACUUGCUCCCAUCAUCCCCCAGUCAGGGGCAGUGGUUUGAUCAGCAUGUUCAGGUUCCACCUGGGCAGCUACACACUCGGCAAUAAACACCAGGGCAGCAUUUCCCCUUUCUCUGACCCAUGCAGAGCUUCUACUUCCACUUCUCCAGGGUCAGCAGUUCUCUUACCUGGAGGUAGCUCUGGAGCAGCUGACUCUUGCUGGGAUUUGGAAUCUUUUCCUCCCAUUUUUUCUUCUUGCUGUAACAAGACAGAGUUUGCAGGGUCACUUCUCCUA